UAGAAAUGAUGAAGUAGAGAUUAACUGGGUGUCAAAUGCUGUAUGACUGGAAAUUUUUAAUAUGGAAGUUAAGUGAUAAAUCUGUUUUAUUUUUAAAUGGAGCAUCAUAAAAUUCCCCUCCCGUUUCUUCAGUUGUUCCUCUUUCCUUUCAAA